rnacentral:lncRNA from 1 species
UUAUUUGCUUAACAAUUGGAUGUAGGCGUGAAAGAGGAUAAAAAGAUUAUUCCAAGCUUAGUGUUUAGAGAACCAGAAGGACAGUUGUUGUUAACUUAAGAUGGGGAAAGCUGCAAGAAGACAUUUAAGGGGAAAGAUGGGAAGUUCAGUUGGACAUACAAUUUUGAAAUAAUGUAUACACAGGGUUAGAGAUAGGCCUGGAAUUUGGAGAGAGCCGAGCUGAAGAUGUGUAUUUCUGAAUUGUCAAAAUAUAGGGAAUAUUUUAAACCACGAGUCUAAAUCACCAAGGGAAUAUUUAUAGAUAUAAAAAGAAACAAUCCAAGAACUAAGCCCUCAAGUGCUCUAAAAUUAAAGGCAAAAGAGCCCCUCCCCUCCCCCCAAAAGAAACAUGAGGAGAAAAUGAGGAAUACACAACGAUAUCUCAGAAGAGGCAGCCAGUGUGUUAGGAGUUUUGUGUCUUGGGAGAAAGUGAAAAAAAGUUUAUCAAGAACCCCACCAUUAGAGAUUUUUAAAGAAGACUGGGCUUUUCUCUUUGUACCCUGAACUGACAGCUGAAUUUUUCAGUUAGGAAUCAACCUCAUCUUAAAUGUUACAGAAUCUUGGCAUUGGUAGGUUUAAUGUUUGUGGUUUCAACUAUUUGGGACAGACUCCAAAUUUCUAUAAUAUAAGAAUUUGUGAUUUUUUGAGGUAUAAAAUGGAAUUCCAUGCCAUAUUAGUGUAUUACUAGGUAGUAAGUAGACCUAGCCACCUAUCCAAUAUCUACAAAUCAAAGUAUCUUUGAGUACCUCGUAUUUAUCAUUGUGUAGGCAUUUAAAGAAGGAAAUCAUAUGCUAAUGGUGUUGACUAAAUUAGAGAUAUAAGUCUCUUUCUUCAAAGUUGAGGCUAUUGUAUUCUUUUUCAUGUGAAGAUUGGUUGCUACCAUGAUCCAUUUACCGGAUCAAAUCUUUUGGUUUGAUCCACUGCUUUCUAUUCUGCCCCAUUCUGCCACUGUCAAACCUCAAUUUCCCUCAUUUAUUUGAAUACCUGUUUUGAAUUUUAACUACUGGCCUGGAGGGAGUCAAAUCUACACCUGUUUUCAAAUCUACAUUGUUUUCACCUUCCCUCCACCAAUCUAUGCUGCUGACAUCUCAAAGAUGCUUCAUGGUAGUCUUUUUUGGGUUAUGACACAUUAUAUAAUUAUCACUCACUAAAUUAGCAGCUUAAAAUAAAAAACUUUGCACUAUUUAAUUUUUUAAGCUUAAUUUAUUAUUAUUCAAAUAUAAUUUCAAGUAAUAAUGAUCACUUGAAAAAUUACAUGAGUGAUUACACAUAUUAGGGAAAAGUCAUUAAAAUCAUUCGCUGGUAUUUUACAGUUUAUUUUUAGUGACAAUGAAAUGUAUUAACAUGUUGGUAUUAUUAAAAGAGCAAUAACAUUUUCUUGUUUUAAAUGAAUUUUACUAUUUUCUACAUUAUGUUUCAUAAUUAGAAAUGGAAUGAGUUGAUGUUUUCUAAUGCAUAAUUAUUUGGUUAUUUGUAUUCAUUCUUAUUUAGAUAAUACUGAUUCUCAUUCCCUGACACACAUCAGGAAUAUAGACCCACAUACAUUAGAGAUAUAAGAUACAGAGAAAAACAUUUUCUUUCCUUUUCAGAGAGCGUUUUUGUUCCUUCACUCCGUUUCCUUCCCUGUUGUAGGUAGAGGUGCUAUGUUAGUUGGAAUAGGCUAAUCUACUCUGUAAUAAUGUAUCAGUCACAUUCAUAUUCUUAAAUAUUGGAAUAAUAUCAAAAUAAAUAUGCCUAAUGACUGUAUUACUUAAUGCUAUAUUUAAAAAAAAGAAUAGCUGU